rnacentral:tRNA from 1 species
UUAUAAUUAUAAGAGUUUUCUAAACUCUUUUUCUUUUUUAGAGUUAUAAG